rnacentral:rRNA from 1 species
GACUUGGAGGUUGUGCCCUUGAGGCGUGGCUUCCGGAGCUAACGCGUUAAGUCGACCGCCUGGGGAGUACGGCCGCAAGGUUAAAACUCAAAUGAAUUGACGGGGGCCCGCACGAGCGGUGGAGCAUGUGGUUUAAUUCGAUGCAACGCGAAGAACCUUACCUGGUCUUGACAUCCACGGAAGUUUUCAGAGAUGAGAAUGUGCCUUCGGGAACCGUGAGACAGGUGCUGCAUGGCUGUCGUCAGCUCGUGUUGUGAAAUGUUGGGUUAAGUCCCGCAACGAGCGCAACCCUUAUCCUUUGUAGCCAGCGGUCCGGCCGGGAACUCAAAGGAGACUGCCAGUGAUAAACUGGAGGAAGGUGGGGAUGACGUCAAGCCAUCAUGGCCCUUACGACCAGGGCUACACACGUGCUACAAUGGCGCAUACAAAGAGAAGCGACCUCGCGAGAGCAAGCGGACCUCAUAAAGUGCGUCGUAGUCCGGAUUGGAGUCUGCAACUCGACUCCAUGAAGUCGGAAUCGCUAGUAAUCGUGGAUCAGAAUGCCACGGUGA